UACGUAGGGUGCAAGCGUUAAUCGGAAUUACUGGGCGUAAAGCGUGCGCAGGCGGUUGUGCAAGACAGAUGUGAAAUCCCCGGGCUCAACCUGGGAAUUGCAUUUGUGACUGCACGGCUAGAGUGUGUCAGAGGGGGGUAGAAUUCCACGUGUAGCAGUGAAAUGCGUAGAGAUGUGGAGGAAUACCGAUGGCGAAGGCAGCCCCCCUGGGACAUGACUGACGCUCAUGCACGAAAGCGUGGGGAGCAAACAGG
rnacentral:rRNA from 1 species